UUAAUGCAAGAGCUGGAAUGUAGGACCAAGGUAAAGCUCCCCAGUGUUGCUAAGGGCCUGUAUCCUGGGCUGGGACAUAGGUCUUUUGGGGUUUUUUUCCCUAUGUACAUGCUUGUCCUUCUACGUGGGCUCUUCAACACAGGGCGGUUCCCUCUUUAGGGGAUUUUUUCCUGUCUUUAGGGGGAUUUUUCCCUUUUGGGUGCUUUUCCCGAGUGUCCGGGUCGUGCCCUCAGGGAAGGAAGGGGGUGCCAGGCCCGGGCAGGGCCCCGGGGCGCCCCCUGGCGGCCCCCGCCGCUGCGGCGAGCGCGAGCACCGGCGCGAGGCGCGGGCCCGGCCUCAGCCCUGAGGGACACCCAGCCCUGAGGGGCGAGGGCGACACGGGGUAUGGCCCCGAGGGCUGAGGGGGACACAGCCCCCAGGGGUGAAGGAUGGAGGCGUCGUGAGGGACAAGGAGCCCUGAGGGCUGAAGGCGACGCGACACACGGUCCCGAAGCACAAAGGGGGAGACUGAGGAGGUGAAAAUACUGAGACGCCCCACAAUACUGCAGGUCCUUCCGAGAUACUGAAUCAGUGCAGUUGGAGACACCACAGACUUACCUCACCUUCAUCCUCCCACCAGGGAAGGAUAUGUCCUUGACACAUGGAGGCUGGCAGGACUUUCAGAAGUUACUCAGGCACAGCAAGUUCCCUGGAGGAGAUUCCUGAAUUCUAUAAACGUCCAAGAAGCCAAUGUGAAAUCUCCAGUUACACAACAGCAACUAACCAAAACAGGCUCCAGCACAGCAUUUGGACCACUCACCUCCAACUCCCUGGACACAUCUAUUGCCAUGAGAUGUCUCAGCCAAGGAUUUGGAGCCAAGAUAUGGAGGAAAUGCUUUAACCAGAUGUGUGCCCAUGCCUGUGACACUGUACUUUCAGAUGCUGGUAUUUAAAAAGAUUGCCAUCUCCCCUGCCUCGCAGCAGCAAGGGAAGACUGAAGCCAUAGAGCAUGGAAUCCAACCCUUCUUCUAGCUACCCAAGGGCAGGAAAAACACCUACAGCUGCUAUGGAGCACUGGAACUUCCAGUUGUAUAUGUUUUCAGGGCACAAGCCACCUCAGGAAAGCUGCUUUUCAAAAGAGGUACCAGUACCCAGCUGGUUGUUAGCUCAACCCUACACAGAAAAAAAUAAAUUAAAAAGAAAAAGUGCUCACCCUCCUCCAUCAUUUGUUCUGCCCUUCAUGAUCACAAAGCCUGUUCUGAAGCACCUCUGUGUGAGCUCCAAGACCACACUUCACAUGUGAAGGACUCAGAAAAGGCAAGGAUCUUUGAGCUGUUAGUUAAAACAAGGAAAGCAGAAUAAACAGCAGUUUU